rnacentral:rRNA from 1 species
GCAAGUCUGGUGCCAGCAGCCGCGGUAAUUCCAGCUCCAAUAGCGUAUAUUAAAGUUGUUGCAGUUAAAAAGCUCGUAGUUGAAUUUCGGGAUCAAUAUUUCGGUCAUGCCGUUGGUAUGCACUGUUAUCAUUGAUUUCUCACCUUCUAAAGAACCAUAAUGCCAUUAAUUUGGUGUUACGGGGAAUUAGGACUGUUACCUUGAAAAAAUUAGAGUGUUUAAAGCAGGCUCACGCUUGAAUACAUUAGCAUGGAAUAAUGAGAUAGGACAUCCGAUUCUAUUUUGUUGGUUUCUAGGAUCGAUGUAAUGAUUAAUAGGGAUAGUUGGGGGCAUUAGUAUUCAAUUGUCAGAGGUGAAAUUCUUGGAUUUAUUGAAGACUAACUACUGCGAAAGCAUUUGCCAAGGAUGUUUUCAUUAAUCAAGAACGAAAGUUAGGGGAUCGAAGACGAUCAGAUACCGUCGUAGUCUUAACCAUAAACUAUGCCGACUAGGGAUCGGAUGAUGUUAAUUUUUUAAUGACUCAUUCGGCGCCUUACGGGAAAC